rnacentral:rRNA from 1 species
AGCGAACGCUGGCGGCAGGCUUAACACAUGCAAGUCGAGCGCCCCGCAAGGGGAGCGGCAGACGGGUGAGUAACACGUGGGAACGUGCCUUUUGGUUCGGAACAACCCAGGGAAACUUGGGCUAAUACCGGAUAAGCCCUAACGGGGAAAGAUUUAUCGCCAAAAGAUCGGCCCGCGUCUGAUUAGCUAGUUGGUGGGGUAAUGGCCCACCAAGGCUACGAUCAGUAGCUGGUCUGAGAGGAUGAUCGGCCACAUUGGGACUGAGACACGGCCCAAACUCCUACGGGAGGCAGCAGUGGGGAAUAUUGGACAAUGGGGGCAACCCUGAUCCAGCCAUGCCGCGUGGGUGAUGAAGGCCUUAGGGUUGUAAAGCUCUUUUAGCGGGGAAGAUAAUGACGGUACCCGCAGAAAAAGCCCCGGCUAACUUCGUGCCAGCCGCCGCGGUAAAAC